UGCAGUUUUUUUGAUGUUUUCGGGCUGAAAAAACGUGCAGUGUUGGGAGUUUGUUUGUUGAAAAAAGCUGGUAUUUUUUGGGCAUUUUUUCGUCGAAAAUAACUGCAAUUUUUUGAGGGUUUUGUGCAGAAAAAACCAGCAGUAUUAGGGGGUUUGUUUGCUGAAAAAAUCUCCUAUUUUUUGGGUUUCUUUUCAUAAAAAAACACUGCAGUUUGUUGUUCUUUGUUUGAGUCUUUUUUGGAUAUGUAGGAAGCUUUUUUUAUUUUUCAAACUUAGCGGCUUUAAUUGAAUACAAAAUGUAUAGUAUUGUGCUUUUUAAUUAGUAUUAAUGUAGUAUAUUCUAUGAUGAUAAUUUGACUUUAUAUCUGAUGCAAUUUUAGUUUCUUUUUAAGCUAGAAACUAUGGUAGAAGGUGGUGGUGGUUGUGGGUUUUACCGCAAAUCUGCUCUAUUCAUCACUGAUUCACCAUUUAUAAUCGAAGGGUGAUUAUGACUAUGACACAAACUACACUCUGUUUGCUCAAGUGAAAACAGUUAGGUUAUUUGUGCGAUUUGCAAUACUGAACAGCAGGUUGCUCAAAUAUGUACCAACUAUAGAGUGAAAAUAGGGGAAUACUUCUGCGAAAUUUGCAAGUUCUAUGAUGAUGAUGUAAAAACUACCUACAUUUAAAAAUGUCCGAAUAAUAUGCUAAUAUCCACUGUUUUUUUUUUAAUUUGUGCUUUGUGACUAGACUUCGAGGGAACAGUUUCACUGCAAUGAUUGUGAGAUUUGUAGGUAAGUAAGGAAGUGAUAUUACUUACAUGGGAGGUAUAGUGGAGAAAGUGGGCUGGUAAAACCGAAAGAACAAAGCAGCUGAUGCGUUAUCUUGCUUACAUGGGAGGUAGAGUGUUGAACAGAAAGUUUGUAUUAAUCAUAAAUAAUAAUUAUAUUAGUAAUUUGUCAUACAUUU